UGAGGCAAUUCCUUCUUCUCCAUUUCAGCUCCACCACAAUAGCUACAAGGCACCAGGCCGGAAGCACAAGGCAUGAUCCAUGUUUAGAGAUGGCGUAGACAAGAGGAAAAAUAAGAAAAACUAAUAGUGGUUGUGUGCACAAUGGUGCAAAUAAAGAGCAUAGAGUGUUUGUUGUCCAACCUUGCUUCCAUGCUAGACCCCUUCUCUCUUUCAACAUGCACAACA
rnacentral:lncRNA from 1 species